GCAGACGGGUGAGUAACGCGUAAGAACUUACCCUAAAGUGGGGGACAACCUCGAGAAAUCGGGGCUAAUACCGCAUACGCUCCGCAAGGAGGAAAGCUACGGCGCUUUAGGAUGGGCUUGCGUCCGAUUAGCUAGUUGGUGAGGUAAUGGCCCACCAAGGCUUAGAUCGGUAGCUGGUCUGAGAGGAUGAUCAGCCACACUGGAAUUGAGAUACGGUCCAGACUCCUACGGGAGGCAGCAGCAGGGAAUAUUGCGCAAUGGGUGAAAGCCUGACGCAGCAACGCCGCGUGGGGGAUGACGGCUUUCGAGUUGUAAACCCCUUUUCUUGGGGAAGAUAAUGACGGUACCCGAGGAAUAAGUCUCGGCUAACUACGUGCCAGCAGCCGCGGUAAGACGUAGGAGGCGAGCGUUAUCCGGAUUUACUGGGCGUAAAGGGCGUGUAGGUGGUUCUCCAAGUCUUUGGUGAAAUCUCCCGGCUUAACUGGGAGGCUGCCAGAGAAACUAGAGAACUUGAGGGCAGCAUAGGGGAGUGGAAUUCCCGGUGUAGUGGUGAUAUGCGUAGAGAUCGGGAGGAACACCAGUGGCGAAAGCGGCUCCCUGGGCUGUACCUGACACUGAGGCGCGAAAGCGUGGGGAGCAAACAGGAUUAGAUACCCUGGUAGUCCACGCUGUAAACGAUGGAUACUAGGUAUGGGGGGUAUCGACCCCCUCCGUGCCGAAGCUAACGCUUUAAGUAUCCCGCCUGGGACUACGGCCGCAAGGCU
rnacentral:rRNA from 1 species